CGUGUAGGCGGUCAGGUAAGUGGAAUGUGAAAUGCCCCGGCUUACCCGGGGACCGGCAUCCCAAACUGCCUGGCUUGAGUAUGGGAGAGGAUGGAGGAAUUCCUGGUGUAGCGGUGAAAUGCGUAGAUAUCAGGAGGAGCACCGGUGGCGAAGGCGUCCAUCUGGCCCAAUACUGACGCUGAGGCGCGAAAGCUAGGGGAGCAAACG
rnacentral:rRNA from 1 species